GAUGAACGCUGGCGGCGUGCCUAAUACAUGCAAGUCGAGCGAACGGACGAGAAGCUUGCUUUUCUGAUGUUAGCGGCGGACGGGUGAGUAACACGUGGAUAACCUACCUAUAAGACUGGGAUAACUUCGGGAAACCGGGGCUAAUACCGGAUAAUAUUUUGAACCGCAUGGUUCAAAAGUGAAAGACGGUCUUGCUGUCACUUAUAGAUGGAUCCGCGCUGCAUUAGCUAGUUGGUAAGGUAACGGCUUACCAAGGCAACGAUGCAUAGCCGACCUGAGAGGGUGAUCGGCCACACGGUAACUGAGACUCGGUCCCGACUCCGACGGGAGGCAGCAGUAGGGAAUCUUCCGCGAUGGGCGAAAGCCUGACGGAGCAACGCCGCGUGAGUGAUGAAGGUCUUCUGAUCGGAAAACUCUGUAAGUAGGGAAGAACAUAUGUGUAAGUAACUGUGCACAUCUUGACGGUACCUAAUCAGAAAGCCACGGCUAACUACGUG
rnacentral:rRNA from 1 species